UACGUAGGGGGCAAGCGUUAUCCGGAAUUAUUGGGCGUAAAGAGUGCGUAGGUGGUCUUGUAAGCGCGGGGUGAAAGGCUAUGGCUUAACCAUGGUAAGCCUUGCGAACUGUAAGACUUGAGUGCAGGAGAGGAAAGCGGAAUUCCUAGUGUAGCGGUGAAAUGCGUAGAUAUUAGGAGGAACACCAGUGGCGAAGGCGGCUUUCUGGACUGUAACUGAUACUGAGGCACGAAAGCGUGGGGAGCAAACAGG
rnacentral:rRNA from 1 species